rnacentral:rRNA from 1 species
CCCUUAGAUGUUCUGGGCCGCACGCGCGCUAAACUGAUGCAUUCAACGAGCCUAUCCUUGACCGACAGGUCCGGGUAAUCUUUGAAUCUGCAUCGUGACGGGGAUAGAUUAUUGCAAUUAUUAAUCUUCAACGAGGAAUGCCUAGUAGGCGCAAGUCAUCAGCUUGCGUCGAUUACGUCCCUGCCCUUUGUACACACCGCCCGUCGCUCCUACCGAUUGGGUGUGCUGGUGAAAUGUUCGGAUCGGCCGUUUGUCGCGGUUUCCGCGGCUCGUGGCUGAGAAGUUCAUUAAACCCUCCCACCUAGAGGAAGGAGAAGUCGUAACA